AGAGUUUGAUCCUGGCUCAGAACGAACGUUAGCGGCGCGCUUAACACAUGCAAGUCGAGCGGAAAGGCCCUUCGGGGUACUCGAGCGGCGCACGGGUGAGUAACACGUGGGAAUCUACCUUUUGGCGGGGGAUACCACCUCGAAAGGGGUGCUAAUACCGCAUGUGACCGAAAGGGGAAAGGCGGCUUCGGCUGUCACCAGAAGAUGAGCCCGCGGCCCAUCAGCUAGUUGGUAGGGUAAAGGCCUACCAAGGCAAUGACGGGUAGCUGGUCUGAGAGGACGACCAGUCACACUGGAACUGAGACACGGUCCAGACUCCUACGGGAGGCAGCAGUGGGGAAUAUUGCGCAAUGGGCGAAAGCCUGACGCAGCGACGCCGCGUGGGUGAUGAAGGUCUUCGGAUCGUAAAGCCCUGUUGGAGGGGAAAGAAAAAGCUUACGGUUAAUACCCGUAGGUCUUGACGGUACCCCUUCAGAAAGCACCGGCUAACUCCGUGCCAGCAGCCGCGGUAAUACGGAGGGUGCAAACGUUGUUCGGAAUCACUGGGCGUAAAGCGCGUGUAGGCGGUACGAUAGGUCAGAUGUGAAAGCCCUCGGCUUAACCGGGGAAGUGCAUUUGAAACUGUCGAACUUGAGUACGGGAGAGGGUCGUGGAAUUCCUGGUGUAGAGGUGAAAUUCGUAGAUAUCAGGAGGAACACCGGUGGCGAAGGCGGCGACCUGGACCGAUACUGACGCUGAGACGCGAAAGCGUGGGGAGCAAACAGGAUUAGAUACCCUGGUAGUCCACGCUGUAAACGAUGGAUACUAGGUGCUGCGGGUAUUGACCCCUGCGGUGCCGUAGCUAACGCGUUAAGUAUCCCGCCUGGGGAGUACGGCCGCAAGGCUAAAACUCAAAUGAAUUGACGG
rnacentral:rRNA from 1 species